CUGAGUGAUUUGGUGGCCGGCCCUGGACUCUGUGCAGGCGUUGGCCCCGGUUACCCGUCCUAAUGUCAUGAGCACGGACCCGCACCCCGCCCGGCCCUGAGGCCGCCGCGGAGCGCGGGGACGAGAGAAUAUUUCCGCCGAGGUGGCAGCGUGGCACCCCCUGUCGGAGCCGGGUAACCCUUGGCUCCUGGAGGGGGAGUCCGCGCCCGCGGCGGGCCGACAAGGCUUUUUCGACUCUUGCGAGAAUGUGAAGUCUGAAUGAGAGGUCAGAGAAUAAGACCAAAACGAAGCA
rnacentral:misc_RNA from 1 species